rnacentral:rRNA from 1 species
AUGGCCUCCUCCCUCCGUGUCUUCUGCGCCGGCGGAGUGACCGCCCUUCCCGCACCGAGCCGCUCCACCAAUGCCUGCGCCGCCCCCUUCCUCGUCGGGCGCAGAAGCAGCAGCAGCACGCACCAGGCAAGCGCUGCCCUGACGCCGUGCCGCGCACGCCCUAGCACUUCGGACUUGCGAUCCUGGUGGGCGGCGGAACUUACCCCGGAAGACAUCUCUUUCGACGACUUCCCCGAGCCGACAACUGGGCGCGGCCAGGAAGAGCUGCGCGCCAUAUGGAAAGCCCUCGUCACCGACCCCCUACAGCCCGUCCUGCUCGCCAUGCGCGAGGUCAGGGCCUCCGGCCACUUCUUCCGCUGUCGCAGCUUCCAUGCGGGGAUAAUCUGUGGCCCCUUGCUACUGGCUGCUGCUUUCUGCCAGCUCGGCAAAUUAGCGCCGAGGUUUUGCAUCGAUAUAAGUCUUGGAUAUAUAUUCUACAAGUUAAGUGUCUUGGCAGCAGAGUUGAAAAGAAAUCGGAAGGCAAACAAUAUAUGUGCUCGGAUACAGCUCGGUAAGUUUUCAAACUCAAGAUGUUGCUUAGCAGGUGUUUAUAGUGGAGGAAACAACUAG